AAGGAAGCACACUUCGGUCAUAGAUUAAGCCAUGCAAGUGUCAGUUCAGGUUCAGUCUCGAAACUGCGAACAGCUCAUUAACACACUUAGUAUCUAUUUGACGGCGCUCCCAAGAGCUCACAUGGAUAGCAGGAGAAAACUCGUGCUAAUACAUGCAAUUGUUUCGCUGGAUACGAAUUACAGCGUAAAAGUUGACUUCGCAAGAAGCACGUCAUUCGACUGAGUGACCUAUCAGCCAGUACUUAGGGUCUUUACCUAGGUAAGCUAUCACGGGUAACGGGCGGUUACCGUCGUACUGCCGGAGAAGGCGCCUGAGAGAUAGCGACUAUUCCUAUGGGGAGCAGCAGGCGCGGAACUUUCCCAAUCUUCAACGAAGGAGGGGGUGAUGACCAGUUCUAGUUUUGGCCUAGGCCAUAUUGGAUAGGGGCGCAGUUUACCACUGUACCGUAACCGAGCAGAGGGCCAGUCUGGUGCCAGCAGCUGCGGUAAUUCCAGCUCUGCGAGUUUGCUCCCAUAUUGUUGCAGUUAAAACGCCCGUAGUCUGAAUUUGGCUCCAGCCAGUAUGUGCACAACGUUCACUGUGAACAAAUCAGGACGCUUAGGGUAUGUUUAAGGAAUGACCUAGCGCAGUAUGAUUACUUUGCCACUUGGCAAGCUCAAUGAGAGCCAUCGGGGGUAGAUCUAUUCCGUGGCGAGCGGUGGAAUGCUUUGACCCACGUGGAGAGAGUCGAAAGCGAAGGCAUCUACCUAGAGGGUUUCUGUCGAUCAAGGGCGAGAGUAGGAGUAUCCAACCGGAUUAGAGACCCGGGUAGUUCCUACUGUAAACGAUGCCGACAGGGGAUUGUCUCUUUAUAGAGGCAGCACCUUAGGAGAAAUCAUAGUUCAUGGGCUCUGGGGGAACUACGACCGCAAGGCUGAAACUUGAAGGAAUUGACGGAAGGGCACACCAGGGGUGGAGCCUGUGGCUUAAUUUGAAUCAACACGGGGAAACUUACCAGGACCAGAUGUUGGUAUGACUGACUUUCUAAAGGGAAUUCAGGAUUUGGCUUGUGGUGGUGCAUGGCCGUUGGUGGUGCGUGGGUUGACCUGUCUAGCGUUGAUUCAGAUAACGAGCGAGAUUAUCGCCAAUUACUUAGUUUGCAGUUGCUUAACUGCGAACUUCUAAUUGGGACUCCCUGUGUCUAACAGGCGGAAGAGGGUAGCAAUAACAGGUCCGUGAUGUCCUUUAGAUGCUCUGGGCUGCACGCGUGCUACAAUGUGAGCAUCAAACAGAUUCAAAGUCGAAAGACUGUGGUACUCUGUCAAACGCUCACGUGGUUGGGAUUGACGGUUGUAAUCACUGUCAUGAACCAGGAAUCCCUUGUAAAUGUGUGUCAACAGCGCACGUUGAAUACGUCCCUGCCCUUUGUACACACCGCCCGUCGCUCCUACCGAUUGGAUGACUCGGUGAAAUCGCCGGACAUUUGCGAAGGCAAUUAAACCACGUUAUCUAGAGGAAGGAGAAGUCGUAACAAGGAAGGGCGAAUUCCACAGUG
rnacentral:rRNA from 1 species